AACGCGAAGAACCUUACCUACCCUUGACAUGCUCGGAAUCUGCUAGAGAUAGCGGAGUGCCUUCGGGAGCCGAGACACAGGUGCUGCAUGGCUGUCGUCAGCUCGUGUCGUGAGAUGUUGGGUUAAGUCCCGUAACGAGCGCAACCCCUAUUCUUAGUUGCCAACAGGUAAAGCUGGGAACUCUAAGGAGACUGCCGGUGACAAGCCGGAGGAAGGUGGGGAUGACGUCAAGUCCUCAUGGCCCUUACGGGUAGGGCAACACACGUGUUACAAUGGCCGGUACAGAGGGAAGCGAAACUGCAAAGUGGAGCGAAUCCUUUAAAAGCCGGUCGUAGUCCGGAUUGGAGUCUGCAACUCGACUCCAUGAAGUUGGAAUCGCUAGUAAUCGCGGAUCAGAACGCCGCGGUGAAUACGUUCCCGGGCCUUGUACACACCGACGCAC
rnacentral:rRNA from 1 species